CCUACGGGGGGCAGCAGUGAGGAAUAUUGGUCAAUGGACGAGAGUCUGAACCAGCCAAGUAGCGUGAAGGAUGACUGCCCUAUGGGUUGUAAACUUCUUUUAUAUGGGAAUAAAAUGUUCCACGUGUGGGAUUUUGUAUGUACCAUAUGAAUAAGGAUCGGCUAACUCCGUGCCAGCAGCCGCGGUAAUACGGAGGAUCCGAGCGUUAUCCGGAUUUAUUGGGGUUAAAGGGAGCGUAGGUGGAUUGUUAAGUCAGUUGUGAAAGUUUGCGGCUCAACCGUAACAUUGCAGUUGAAACUGGCAGUCUUGAGUACAGUAGAGGUGGGCGGAAUUCGUGGUGUAGCGGUGAAAUGCUUAGAUAUCACGAAGAACUCCGAUUGCGAAGGCAGUUCACUGGACUGCAACUGACACUGAGGCUCGAAAGUGUGGGUAUCAAACAGGAUUAGAUACCCGAGUAGUC
rnacentral:rRNA from 1 species